rnacentral:misc_RNA from 1 species
AAGUCGCAACAAGGUUUCCGUAGGUGAACCUGCGGAAGGAUCAUUACUGAGUGCAGGCCCCCUCGCGGGCCUAACCUCCCACCCUUGUCUCUAUGAUACCCUGUUGCUUCGGCGAGCCCACUGGUGUUCCAGUCGCCGGGGGGCAUCUCGUCCCCGGGCCUGCGCUCGCCGAAGCGCCUAUUGAACCCUGAUGAAGAUGGGCUGUCUGAGUGAGUAGAAAAUUGUCAAAACUUUCAACAAUGGAUCUCUUGGUUCCG